UGGCCCAGAUCGUUUACCGUGAAAAAAUUAGAGUGUUCAAAGCAGGCAGAUCCAAUUUUCUGCCACCGAAUACAUUAGCAUGGGAUAAUGGAAUAGGACCCUGUCCUCCUAUUUUCAGUUGGUUUGCCGCGAGGACCAGGGUAAUGAUUAAUAGGGAUAGUUGGGGGCAUUAAUAUUUAAUUGUCAGAGGUGAAAUUCUUGGAUUUAUGAAAGAUUAACUUCUGCGAAAGCAUCUGCCAAGGAUGUUUUCAUUAAUCAAGAACGAAAGUUAGGGGAUCGAAGACGAUCAGAUACCGUCGUAGUCUUAACCAUAAACGAUGCCGACCAGCGAUUAGGAGACGUUGAAUACAAAACACCACCAUGCGCAUUGCGGUCGUCUUUGGUGUCGCUCACAAGGCGGCACCGUCGGCUAGUCCGAACCGUA
rnacentral:rRNA from 1 species